rnacentral:rRNA from 1 species
GACGAACGCUGGCGGCGUGCUUAACACAUGCAAGUCGAACGGAAAGGCCCUGCUUUUGUGGGGUGCUCGAGUGGCGAACGGGUGAGUAACACGUGAGUAACCUGCCCUUGACUUUGGGAUAACUUCAGGAAACUGGGGCUAAUACCGGAUAGGAGCUCCUGCUGCAUGGUGGGGGUUGGAAAGUUUCGGCGGUUGGGGAUGGACUCGCGGCUUAUCAGCUUGUUGGUGGGGUAGUGGCUUACCAAGGCUUUGACGGGUAGCCGGCCUGAGAGGGUGAACGGCCACAUUGGUACUGAGAUACGGCCCAGACUCCUACGGGAGGCAGCAGUGGGGAAUAUGGCACAAUGGGCGGAAGCCUGAUGCAGCAACGCCGCGUGCGGGAUGACGGCCUUCGGGUUGUAAACCGCUGUCGCCUGUGACGAAGCGUGAGUGACGGUAAUGGGUAAAGAAGCACCGGCUAACUACGUG